AUUCUUUUGGUGGCUCGAUGUUACCCUCAUAUUUUCAGCACUAAUUUUAGGGAUACAGUUGGUAUAUUAGUUGGAUGGCAUAGAGAUCAUACUCAGAAACCUUCGCUCACGCAGCAGGUAUCUGGGUGGUUGCAGAGUUUGGAGCCAUUUUGGGUAGCUGAUCUUGCAUUUUCUACGCCUCUACUUGGUCAGUUUCUAGAAGACAUGGAAGCAUAUGCUGAGGACCUCAGCCAUGUGGCCGCUGGGGAAUCAGUGGAUGAAGACGUCCCUCCUCCAUCAGUGUCAUUACCAAAGCUGGCUGCCCUCAGCCCAAUUCGGGCCCUCCAAUUACUGAGGCAUACGUAACAGAUGUUCUGUACAGAGUAAUGAGAUGUGUGACGGCUGCAAACCAGGUGUUUUUUUC
rnacentral:lncRNA from 1 species